AGCGAACGCUGGCGGCAGGCCUAACACAUGCAAGUCGAACGAACCUUCCGGGGUUACUGGCGGAUGCGUGUGUAACACGUGGGACGGUUCCUUUAGGUACGGGAUACCUCUGUGACACUUGUGCUAACACAGAAUGUGCCCUUCGGGGGCAAGAUUAAUCGCCUCUAGAGCGGCCCGCGUUUGAUUAGCUAGUUGGGUGAGGUAAUGGCUCACCAAGGCUACGUACAGUAGAUGGUCUGGGAGGAAGGGCCGCGACAUUGGGACGAAGACACAGUCCAAACUCCUACGGGAUGGGGGAGUGGGGAAUCUAGCGCAACGGGCGAAAGGCUGACGCAGCCAGGCCGGGUGAAUGAUGAUGGUCUGAGGAUAGAAAAAUUCUUUCACCGGGGACGAUAAUGACGGUACCCGAAGAAGAAGCCCCGGCUAACUUCGUG
rnacentral:rRNA from 1 species